rnacentral:rRNA from 1 species
UUUGAUGCGACCGGCGCACGGUGAGUAACACGUAUCCAACCUGCCGAUGACUCGGGGAUAGCCUUUCGAAAGAAAGAUUAAUACCCGAUGGCAUAGUUCUUCCGCAUGGUAGAACUAUUAAAGAAUUUCGGUCAUCGAUGGGGAUGCGUUCCAUUAGGUUGUUGGCGGGGUAACGGCCCACCAAGCCUUCGAUGGAUAGGGGUUCUGAGAGGAAGGUCCCCCACAUUGGAACUGAGACACGGUCCAA